rnacentral:misc_RNA from 1 species
GUUGGCUCACGUAUCGCCAUUCCCAGCAACUUGUUCUCGGCAUAGCGGAUUUUUUCCGGACCAUCGCGCGCGCAACUCUCGCCCGUGCCUUCGAGCACGAUCGUCAUAUAGAGCCCGGGCUUCAUGGUCCCCUGUGUGCGAAGAUCAUUCGNNNNNNNNNGAUGAAGAAUACAGCCGGGAUUAUCCAGCCAGAUCAUGUUUUGGGAAAACGUGUCUUCGAC